rnacentral:rRNA from 1 species
GAUGAACGCUGGCGGCGUGCCUAAUACAUGCAAGUCGAGCGAACAGACGAGGAGCUUGCUCCUCUGACGUUAGCGGCGGACGGGUGAGUAACACGUGGAUAACCUACCUAUAAGACUGGGAUAACUUCGGGAAACCGGAGCUAAUACCGGAUAACAUGUUGAACCGCAUGGUUCAACAGUGAAAGACGGUCUUGCUGUCACUUAUAGAUGGAUCCGCGCCGCAUUAGCAAGGUGGUAAGGUAACGGCUUACCAAGGGAACGAUGCGUAUCCGACCUGUGAGGGUCUCAGGCCACGCUGGCAAUUAGAGGCAGUUCAGACCGCUACAGGGAGACCCAAUCAGGAAUCUUCCGCAAUGGGGGAAAGCCUGCGGACGGGAAACCGCGUGAAUGGACACAGUGUUCGGGUCGUAAAACUAUCUUAUUAGGGAAGAACAAAUGUGUAAGUAACUAUGCACGUCUUGACGGUACCUAAUCAGAAAGCCACGGCUAACUACGUG